rnacentral:misc_RNA from 1 species
GAUGAAGAACGUAGCGAAAUGCGAUAAGUAAUGUGAAUUGCAGAAUUCAGUGAAUCAUCGAAUCUUUGAACGCACCUUGCACCCUUUGGUAUUCCGAAGGGUAUGCUCGUUUGAGUGUCAUUGUACUCUCACACUUCUAAUUCCUUUCGGGAUUGGGAGCGGUGGACUUGGGUGUUGCUGCUUUAGUUGUGGCUCACCUCAAAUAAGUUAGUGCAACUCUUGGUUGGACAUAGUACGGCGUGAUAAGUGUCUUCGCCGGCGCCUCUGUAAGGAGGGUGGCCGAUCGGGAGCUCUGUGCUUCAAACCGUCUUCGGACAAACUUUGACAACUUGACCUCAAAUCGAGUAGGACUACCCGCUGAACUUAAGCAUAUCAAUAAGCGGAGGA